UAGACCGAUAGCGAACAAGUAGAGUGACCGAAAGAUGAAAAGCACUUUGGAAAGAGAGUUAAAAAGCACGUGAAAUUGUUAAAAGGGAAGGGAUUGCAACCAGACUUGCUCGCGGUGUUCCGCCGGUCUUCUGACCGGUCUACUCGCCGCGUUGCAGGCCAGCAUCGUCUGGUGCCGCUGGAUAAGACUUGAGGAAUGUAGCUCCCUCGGGAGUGUUAUAGCCUCUUGUGAUGCAGCGAGCGCCGGGCGAGGUCCGCGCUUCGGCUAGGAUGCUGGCGUUAAUUGGUUGUAAUCCGCCCGUCUUGAAACACGGACCAAGA
rnacentral:rRNA from 1 species